AUCAAACGCUGGCGGCGUGCCUCAGACAUGCAAGUCGAACGAUUAAGACUCCCUUCGGGGAGUGUAUAAAGUGGCGCACGGGUGAGUAACACGUAAGUAAUCUACCUUCGAGUGGGGAAUAACAGUCGGAAACGGCUGCUAAUACCGCAUAAUGCAGCGGCAUCGAAAGAUGACAGUUGUUAAAGGAGCAAUUCGCUUGAAGAGGAGCUUGCGGCAGAUUAGCUAGUUGGUAAGGUAAUGGCUUACCAAGGCUACGAUCUGUAUCCGGUCUAAGAGGACGGUCGGACACACUGACACUGAAUAACGGGUCAGACUCCUACGGGAGGCAGCAGUCGGGAAUUUUGGGCAAUGGGCGAAAGCCUGACCCAGCAACGCCGCGUGAAGGAUGAAGUUUUUCGGAAUGUAAACUUCGAAAGAAUGGGAAGAAUAAAUGACGGUACCAUUUAUAAGGUCCGGCUAACUACGUGCCAGCAGCCGCGGUAAUACGUAGGGACCAAGCGUUGUUCGGAUUUUACUGGGCGUAAAGGGCGCGUAGGCGGCAAUUCAAGUCAGCUGUGAAAUCUCCGGGCUUAACUCGGAACGGUCAGCUGAUACUGCUUUGCUAGAGUGCGGAAGGGGGCAAUCGGAAUUCUCGGUGUAGCGGUGAAAUGCGUAGAUAUCGAGAGGAACACCUGAGGUGAAGACGGGUUGCUGGGCCGACACUGACGCUGAGGCGCGAAAGCCAGGGUAGCAAAACGGGAUUAGAUACCCCGGUAGUCCUGGCCCUAAACGAUGAAUACUUGGUGUCUGGAGUCAUUAUUGCUCCGGGUGCCGUCGCUAACGUUUUUAAAGUAUUCCGCCUGGGGGAGUACGCACGCAAGUGUGAAACUCAAAGGAAUUGACGGGGACCCGCACAAGCGGUGGAGCAUGUGGUUUUAAUUCGACGCAACGCGAAGAACCUUACCUGGGCUAGAAUGCGCGGGAAGGGCACGUAACUGUGUCCGUCCGGGAAACCGGACCCAAAGCAAGGUGCUGCAUGGCUGUCGUCAGCUCGUGUCGUGAGAUGUUGGGUUAAGUCCCGCAACGAGCGCAACCCCUAUUGGUAGUUGCCAUCAUUAAGUUGGGAACUCUAUCAAGACUGCUGUUGAUAAAAACCGGAGGAAGGUGGGGGAUGACUGUCAAGUCAUCAUGGCCUUUAUGUUCUAGGGGCUACACACGUGCUACAAAUGGUCCGGUACAAAGCGCUGCAAAUCCCGCGAGGGGGAGCCUAAUCGCAAAAAAGCCGAUCUCAGUUCGGAUUGGCAGUCUGCAACUCGACCUGCCAUGAAGUUGGAAUCGCUAGUAAUCGCGGAAUCAGCACUGCCUGCGGUGAAUACGUUUCCCGGGUCCUUGUACACACCGCCCGUCACAUCACGAAAGCUAGGCUUGUACUAGAAGUCGGCCGGCGCUACAAACCCGCAAGGGGAGGCAGGUGCUUACAGGUAUGAUCUAGUGAUUGGGGUG
rnacentral:rRNA from 1 species